CUAAGCGGGGAGCGGCGCACAGUCACUGUACGGCGCAGGCCCGCGCGUGCGCAAUGGCGUCCCGCCAGAUUACAAAAGGAGGUCGCUCCCUGGGCGCGCAGACCGCGUGGGGGAGGGGGAGGGCGUCUCCGCCCCUAACGGGCGGAGGCGGGGCGGCCGGCCGGAAGUGGCGGGGACAGAAGAGGAAGCGCGGGUUUCUUGCGAGCCAGAGGACCGGGUUAGACGCGAACCCUCAGUCUCCCGCCCGCUGGUUUGCUCCCGACCUAGGCGGAGAGCUAGCUGCCAGGGCCGGUCGGGCGCCGAGUGACCCGGCUCCGCCAGCUCCUGAGGGAGAGACAGGGAGUGGACGGACGAGGCGGGCUCCAACCGCCAUGUUAGCGGAGUCCUAAGAAACCGCGCGAGCCACAGCCCAGCAGGACCUCGUGGCGCAACGGUAGCGCGUCUGACUCCAGAUCAGAAGGCUGCGUGUUCGAAUCACGUCGGGGUCAUGGCUCUUUUGUCUUUUUGCUUUUUUGAAUUCAUUAGUUUCAUGCGAGCCAUGGUGUGUUCCCGCCAUUUUUCGAAAAUGCUUUUGGGGUUAUAAAGCUUCGUUCAAAAGUUACCGUAGUACUUUAGCUGCUGAAAAAUAAGGCUUACCAUAAAUUGUAACGCCUGAAGGCCGUUUUUAGGCCUUGUAAUGUGAAGGGGCUUUUUUUUUUUUUUUGAGUGGGUGUGUGUAAUUAAUUACUUGAGAGAUGGUCUUAACUGUUCUGCGUUAAGCGUUUUCUUUCUCACAGCAAUUACACAAUAUUGCGGUACUGUUUCUCCAAAAGUGGUUUUAAUCUGUUUGCCUUUUGAAAGCAAGUACGAUCGCGUACAAUCUAUUAAAUAAUGCAAGUUUUGAGCAGCAGAAAAGUUGUAUUUUAAGCCACUGGGUGCCAAACGUUGGAUUUAGCGCCAUGAAAGUAGCGUAAACUGGAAUGGAGUCAUAAAACGGAGGCACUAACUCUGCCCCCGGUCAUGUAGCCCAUUACAAGGUGAUGCAACCUAUUUUGUCUGCAUUGAAAAGGUUAGUUUGUACAAAUAACAUGUUCGGUUCAAGCUAAGUGUGACAAAAAGUGCACUAGAUGCAAAGUGGGGGAAGGUAGAUUUAAACACAGAGUUGUCUAUCCGAAGUUUUCAUGUUGGAGCUCUAACUCGCUCCCUUCCCCCAUCCUUAGUAACUCGGAAUGUGGCUAUUUGGAGACAGGACUUUUGAAGCAUUGAUUAAGUAAAAAUUAGUCUCUUGGAGUCCUAAUGCAGUAGUAGGACUGGCAUCAUACUUUGGAUACAUGUCAAGGAUGUGUGCACAUAGAAAGUUCGUGUUAGGCUAGAACAAGAAGGCAGCAACCCUCAAAAAAGCCAAUGUUGUCUACUUCUACAGGGAAAGGGCUGGGGAGAUAAAUGAGAGACAGACCAUACAGGAAGGAGCUUGUGUCCUCCUAAUUUAUUCUGAGGUCAAUGUAGGCUGUUAUAGCAAUUCAUGACUUUGUCAUUCAUGACUUUAACAAGAUCACCAAGAACACAGAACAUGGCCUAGACUUCCCGGACUGCACCCUAGGGAUAACUGGGGAAGAAAAGACUGCAGGUCCUGUUUACCAUACAAGGUCUAUGAAUUAUAUUUGUGCUCGGUGCUGUCAGAGACCAAAAGAGGGUUUUGGAUCCCCUGAAACUGGAGUUGAGGACAGCUGUGAGCUGCCAUGUAGGUGCUGGGAAUUGAGCCUAAGUCCUCUACAAAAACAACAAAUGUUCUUAACCACUGAGCCCUCUCAGAGCCCUGGAGGGUGUAUGGUGUUCCUCCUGUCUUCCUGUCUAUCUCUGCUUCUCAGUUGCCAUGAGGGUCUCACCAUGUAGCUGUGGCUGGAACUCAAUAUGUAGACCAGGCUGCCUUCAAACUCAGAGAGAUCCACGAGCUUCUACUUCUCAACUGCUAAGAUUAAGGGCAUGAAGCACCUGGCACAGUCUCUUAUUCUUAAAUAAAUGUCAGUAAUAUGUUUUUUAUGGCUUUGCAGUAUUUCCUCAUAUGUAUAUGUAUUUAUUACCAGGUAUUUCUUAUGGGUUAAAUCUGGACUGCCCCCCAAAGGCUAUUUUUGAGCACUUGGUUCCCAGCUUGUGGUGAUUCUUAGGCUGUGAAGUUUGUAGGAGAUGGAACAUAGCGGCAGAAAUAAGUCAUUGGGGAUGAGUACUGUGAUAGCCGUAAGUUCACAACCAAUCCCGUGUAAAACAGCCUUUAAGAAGUCAAGUGCACGGGCAGUAGAGAUGGCUUGGUGGUUAAGAGCACUGGCUAGUCUUCCAGAGGUCCUGAGUCCAAUUCCCAGCAACCACAUGAUGGCUCACAACCAUCUGUAAUGAGAUAUGGUGCCCUCUUCUGGCCUGUAGGCAUAUAUAGAGGCAGAAUGUUGUGUACAUAAUAAAUAAAUAAAUCUUAAAAAAAAAAAAGUCAAGUGCACAUCAAUAGCAUGACAAAGGGAG
ensembl:lncRNA